CCUACGGGUGGCAGCAGUGGGGAAUAUUGCACAAUGGGGGGAACCCUGAUGCAGCGACGCCGCGUGAGUGAAGAAGGAUUUCGGGAUGUAAAGCUCUAUCAGCAGGGAAGAAAAUGACGGUACCUGACUAAGAAGCCCCGGCUAACUACGGGCCAGCAGCCGCGGUAAGAUGUAGGGGGCCAUCGUUAUCCGGAUUUACUGGGUGUAAAGGGAGCGUAGAGGGGUAUGCAAGUGUGAAGUGAAAGCGCAAGGCUCAACCAUGGGACUGCCUUGGAAACUGUAAAACUGGAGUGCAGGAGAGGUAAGCGGAAUUCCUGGUGUAGCGGUGAAAUGCGUAGAUAUUAGGAGGAACACCAGUGGCGAAGGCGGCUUACUGG
rnacentral:rRNA from 1 species